GAUGAACGCUGGCGGCGUGCCUAAUACAUGCAAGUCGAGCGAACAGACGAGGAGCUUGCUCCUCUGACGUUAGCGGCGGACGGGUGAGUAACACGUGGAUAACCUACCUAUAAGACUGGGAUAACUUCGGGAAACCGGAGCUAAUACCGGAUAAUAUAUUGAACCGCAUGGUUCAAUAGUGAAAGACGGUUUUGCUGUCACUUAUAGCUGGAUCCGCGCCGCAUUAGCUAGUUGGUAAGGUAACGGCUUACCAAGGCAACGAUGCGUAGCCGACCUGAGAGGGUGAUCGGCCACACUGGAACUGAGACACGGUCCAGACUCCUACGGGAGGCAGCAGUAGGGAAUCUUCCGCAAUGGGCGAAAGGCUGACGGAGCAACGCCGCGUGAGUGAUGAAGGUCUUCGGAUCGUAAAACUCUGUUAUUAGGGAAGAACAAAUGUGUAAGUAACUAUGCACGUCUUGACGGUACCUAAUCAGAAAGCCACGGCUAACUACGUG
rnacentral:rRNA from 1 species